rnacentral:rRNA from 1 species
CACUUCCAGCAUAUCAAUUAUUGGAGGCACUGCCUGCCCAGUGACAUCUGUUAAACGGCCGCGGUAUCCUGACCGUGCAAAGGUAGCAUAAUCAUUUGUUCUCUAAAUAAGGACUUGCAUGAAUGGCCACACGAGGGUUUUACUGUCUCUUACUUCCAAUCAGUGAAAUUGACCUUCCCGUGAAGAGGCGGGAAUACACAAAUAAGACGAGAAGACCCUAUGGAGCUUCAAUUAACCAACCCACAAAUUAACAAAACACAAUUCCAAGGAAUAUAAACCUCAUUUAAAUGGGUUGGCAAUUUAGGUUGGGGUGACCUCGGAACAUAAAAUAACUUCCGAGUGAUAAAGUUCUAGACUAACAAGUCAACAUAUUAUAAUAAUCACUUAUUGAUCCAAAAAAUUUGAUCAACGGAACAAGUUACCCUAGGGAUAACAGCGCAAUCCUGUUUGAGAGUCCAUAUCGAUAACAGGGUUUACGACCUCGAUGUUGGAUCAGGACAUCCCAAUGGUGCAGCCGCUAUUAAUGGUUCGUUUGUUCAACGAUUAAAGUCCU